UGGCCCCUACGGGGGGCAGCAGUGAGGAAUAUUGGUCAAUGGGCGGAAGCCUGAACCAGCCACGUCGCGUGAGGGAAUAAGGCCCUACGGGUCGUAACCCUCUUUUGCCGGGGAGCAAGGGCCGGGACGCGUCCCGGCCCGGAGAGUACCCGGAGAAAAAGCAUCGGCUAACUCCGUGCCAGCAGCCGCGGUAAUACGUAGGUGGCAAGCGUUAUCCGGAUUUAUUGGGUGUAAAGGGCGUGUAGGCGGGAAUGCAAGUCAGAUGUGAAAACUAUGGGCUCAACCCAUAGCCUGCAUUUUAAACU
rnacentral:rRNA from 1 species